CAUAACCAUUUGCACCUCUGGCAGCACACGUUGGGAGAUAAUACUCUUCUUUCAGGGUACUUAUCUAACAUGACAUACGAUUUAUUAUCUAUUUCAUUUGCAUUCUUUGAUUAUUGCAUACUGUAUUUCAUUGCCAUUUUUGAUAAUUUCUCUAGACUAUAGAAAAAACCAUACUUGCAAAGUUAUAAUAGCAGCUAAAUGUAUACUCAUUGUCCACAGUGCAGGAAAUGAGAAGAAAACUUCAACUGAACUAUUCCCAGCUAAAUAGAUCACUGCAUCUGGCCACGUAAAUUUGUUGGGACAGAUUUCAACUGAACGGUAUAGGCUGCAGUAGAUCAAAUAGCAUUAAUUCCAUCCUCUUUCCCUUGCAGCAAAUAUAAUUAAUCUAGAUCAACUGAACUCCAGCUAAAGGUCAAACAGGCAAGAGCCCAAAUUGAUGAACCAAGUAGUUUAUGUGAAAACAUAUAUUUUGUCUCAAGGCGUGCCCACAAAUCGUGGUGUAAAAUAUUAGUCACCUAUCUGCCGCUUUAGCUGGGUAUGAAUAGCACACAACUAAUGUAUUUGUUCAUGCCCUAGCUGUGCCAAAGAGGGAAACAAUCAUCAUCUUCUUUUCUGACGAGGACAGUGACACAAGGCACAGACAGGUAGCAGAGCUGGAUAAUAGCUAGAUCACCUUCCUUAUGUUAUCGUAGUGUAGGUCAGAAAUAUUAGAUAAUCUCCCCUUCCAAUAUAAAUCCAUCUACGAUAUAAUCCAGUAAACAAGCGUCCUCUGGCUUACUAUUGCUAUAAACUAAUGUGUGUCCCAUAUAUGCAUUAGCUUUGUUAAUGUUUUUACUUAUAUCAUCUGCUUAUAUGACCUCUGCAAUAAGUUCAAAUUGUACAAAAUAUGCACACUAAAAAAAUGUAGCACCAUGGGUGCGGCGUGCCGCCACGCCAUAAAGAUGCAGUUUGGUUCAAUGGAUUGUAAGAGCUCAUUGAACUCGCAUAUACGGAUUGUUUUGAGCUACAUUAUUUUUGUCUUCUUGCUCAAAGGUCAAAAAUGUUUCUUAUUUUAGAUUUGUCUUAUUUCGAUAAUUUAUCAGCCAGUAUUUGCAAGAGUUGCUCACUAUGCUCUGGAUCAGCCAAGGUAGUUAUGUACUGAAUAAACUUUUAUUCGUCCAAGCCCUUAUGAUGAUGCUCUUAAAUUUAAAUGCAGCAAUUAGUUCCAUAUUUAGUGGAAGUGUAUUUUUGAAUGAUCCUCACAACUGAUGUUGAUCAAGCAGUAGCAGAGUUAGCAUCUUAAAUUUUUUAUUCUACAAAUAGGAAACACAGUCUCAGUAUCUUUGAUUUUGUUCAGAAAAAUAGCUGAAGAUUAAUGUAUGCCUAUUUUGUAACAUAUAGAAGUUCCUCUCGCUGCCAAAUUUACGGACCUUUAUUUGUUUGGGCCUCCUGAGGAAACGGUCGUCCAAAAAAAGGAUCUUUAUUUGUUUGGGCCUCGUGAGGAAACUGUCGUCUGAAAAGAGGUGUCGCUGCUUGUGUCAAGUGUAAGAGGACUGACUAAUGCAGUGCCCAAGGAUUUACUUGAGAAUUCAGUGUUGUUCUACUCAUAGACGUGAAUAACUAGACUCAUUGCACAACUACCUCCAGGUACAAAUUGUUGAGCCGAUUGUCCAUGCCAAUGUUGUCUUGCGAGGAGUGGAUUGUUCAGCUGUAGGUCAGGAUAAUGUUGGCAUCCCUGCUCCUAAAGCCCCAAAGCAUGUUCCAGGUCCUGCUGAGACAUCAACUCCGUCACUAUCCAUGGAUCUCACGCCACAGACUGCAGGCAACAUAUUCAGCUUCCGUUAUUGAUGAGACUGCCUCUGAUGCCAUUGGGAGAAUGAAGCGCAACAAUCCCGGUGAUGGUGAGCACCCAGGUCGAAGAAAGGGUUACAUUUUUCGGAUGCUGAUGACUAGGUUCCUGGGCACGUGUUCGUGAGCUUAACGUGAAGAGCAUGGUGGUUCUAUUGUCAGCGAUUUUGUUUAUGCUUGUGUUUUUACUGUCUACAAGCUACUAUUUGGUUGGUGUAUGCAACAAGGUUGCUUCGCUAUGGCCCCCGGUUCUGUUGUUCAAGGCCCAUAUGUUUGGGCCCCGAGUCCUCUUCUAUCUUUGUACAUCUUAGGACACUUAACUCAUAACACUAGCGAUGCCAAGAAGUUGAUAUUCCAUUUGAUCGAAACUCUGAAA